rnacentral:rRNA from 1 species
UUACCAUGCAGUCGAGCGGUAGCACAGGGGAGCUUGCUCCCUGGGUGACGAGCGGCGGACGGGUGAGUAAUGUCUGGGAAACUGCCUGAUGGAGGGGGAUAACUACUGGAAACGGUAGCUAAUACCGCAUAACGUCGCAGGACCAAAGAGGGGGACCUUCGGGCCUCUUGCCAUCAGAUGUGCCCAGAUGGGAUUAGCUAGUAGGUGGGGUAAUGGCUCACCUAGGCGACGAUCCCUAGCUGGUCUGGGAGGAUGACCAGCCACACUGGAACUGAGACACGGUCCAGACUCCUACGGGAGGCAGCAGUGGGGAAUAUUGCACAAUGGGCGCAAGCCUGAUGCAGCCAUGCCGCGUGUGUGAAGAAGGCCUUCGGGUUGUAAAGCACUUUCAGCGAGGAGGAAGGUGGUGAGCUUAAUACGCUCAUCAAUUGACGUUACUCGCAGAAGAAGCACCGGCUAACUCCGUGCCAGCAGCCGCGGUAAUACGGAGGGUGCAAGCGUUAAUCGGAAUUACUGGGCGUAAAGCGCACGCAGGCGGUUUGUUAAGUCAGAUGUGAAAUCCCCGGGCUCAACCUGGGAACUGCAUUUGAAACUGGCAAGCUAGAGUCUCGUAGAGGGGGGUAGAAUUCCAGGUGUAGCGGUGAAAUGCGUAGAGAUCUGGAGGAAUACCGGUGGCGAAGGCGGCCCCCUGGACGAAGACUGACGCUCAGGUGCGAAAGCGUGGGGAGCAAACAGGAUUAGA